rnacentral:rRNA from 1 species
UACCCGCAGCACAAGUGGUGGUCAUUAUUAUUGGGCCUAAAGCGUCCGUAGCUGGCUUGUUAGAUGCCUGGGUAAAUCGAUGCGCUCAACGUAUCGAAUUCCGGGUAGACCGGCAAGCUCGAGACCGGGAGAGGUGUAGGCUACUCGAGGGGUAGGGGUAAAAUCCUGUAAUCCUUCGGGGAGGACCAGUGGCGAAGGCGUCACAUUAGAACGGCUCCGACAGUGAGGGACGAAGCCCUGGGGCGCAAACCGG